CACAUACUCCCUCUGUCCGGAAAUACUUGUCGUAGAAAUGGAUGUAUCUAGAUGUAUUUUAGUUCUAGGUACAUCUAUUUUAAUUCAUUGUGUGACUAGUAAUUCCGGACGGAGGGAGUAUAUG
rfam:Hordeum vulgare subsp. vulgare, WGS project CAJW01000000 data, contig: morex_contig_38998